rnacentral:rRNA from 1 species
GAACGCUGGCGGCAGGCCUAACACAUGCAAGUCGAGCGCACUCUUCGGAGUGAGCGGCGGACGGGUUAGUAACGCGUGGGAACGUGCCCAGAUCUAAGGAAUAGCCACUGGAAACGGUGAGUAAUACCUNNUACGCCCUUCGGGGGAAAGAUUUAUCGGAUUUGGAUCGGCCCGCGUUAGAUUAGAUAGUUGGUGGGGUAAUGGCCUACCAAGCCUACGAUCUAUAGCUGGUUUUAGAGGAUGAUCAGCAACACUGGGACUGAGACACGGCCCAGACUCCUACGGGAGGCAGCAGUGGGGAAUCUUGGACAAUGGGGGCAACCCUGAUCCAGCCAUGCCGCGUGAGUGAUGAAGGCCUUAGGGUCGUAAAGCUCUUUCGCCUGUGAUGAUAAUGACAGUAGCAGGUAAAGAAACCCCGGCUAACUCCGUGCCAGCAGCCGCGGUAAUACGGAGGGGGUUAGCGUUGUUCGGAAUUACUGGGCGUAAAGCGCGCGUAGGCGGAUUAGUCAGUUAGAGGUGAAAUCCCAGGGCUCAACCCUGGAACUGCCUUUAAUACUGCUAGUCUUGAGUUCGAGAGAGGUGAGUGGAAUUCCGAGUGUAGAGGUGAAAUUCGUAGAUAUUCGGAGGAACACCAGUGGCGAAGGCGGCUCACUGGCUCGAUACUGACGCUGAGGUGCGAAAGUGUGGGGAGCAAACAGGAUUAGAUACCCUGGUAGUCCACACCGUAAACGAUGAAUGCCAGUCGUCGGCAAGCAUGCUUUGUCGGUGACACACCU